CCAAGGGUUCCUGUCCAACGUUAAUCGGGGCAGGGUGAGUCGACCCCUAAGGCGAGGCCGAAAGGCGUAGUCGAUGGGAAACAGGUUAAUAUUCCUGUACUUGGUGUUACUGCGAAGGGGGGACGGAGAAGGCUAUGUUGGCCGGGCGACGGUUGUCCCGGUUUAAGCGUGUAGGCUGGUUUUCCAGGCAAAUCCGGAAAAUCAAGGCUGAGGCGUGAUGACGAGGCACUACGGUGCUGAAGCAACAAAUGCCCUGCUUCCAGGAAAAGCCUCUAAGCAUCAGGUAACAUCAAAUCGUACCCCAAACCGACACAGGUGGUCAGGUAGAGAAUACCAAGGCGCUUGAGAGAACUCGGGUGAAGGAACUAGGCAAAAUGGUGCCGUAACUUCGGGAGAAGGCACGCUGAUAUGUAGGUGAAGUCCCUUGCGGAUGGAGCUGAAAUCAGUCGAAGAUACCAGCUGGCUGCAACUGUUUAUUAAAAACACAGCACUGUGCAAACACGAAAGUGGACGUAUACGGUGUGACGCCUGCCCGGUGCCGGAAGGUUAAUUGAUGGGGUCAGCGCAAGCGAAGCUCUUGAUCGAAGCCCCGGUAAACGGCGGCCGUAACUAUAACGGUCCUAAGGUAGCGAAAUUCCUUGUCGGGUAAGUUCCGACCUGCACGAAUGGCGUAAUGAUGGCCAGGCUGUCUCCACCCGAGACUCAGUGAAAUUGAACUCGCUGUGAAGAUGCAGUGUACCCGCGGCAAGACGGAAAGACCCCGUGAACCUUUACUAUAGCUUGACACUGAACAUUGAGCCUUGAUGUGUAGGAUAGGUGGGAGGCUUUGAAGUGUGGACGCCAGUCUGCAUGGAGCCGGCCUUGAAAUACCACCCUUUAAUGUUUGAUGUUCUAACGUGGACCCGUGAUCCGGGUUGCGGACAGUGUCUGGUGGGUAGUUUGACUGGGGCGGUCUCCUCCUAAAGAGUAACGGAGGAGCACGAAGGUUGGCUAAUCCUGGUCGGACAUCAGGAGGUUAGUGCAAUGGCAUAAGCCAGCUUGACUGCGAGCGUGACGGCGCGAGCAGGUGCGAAAGCAGGUCAUAGUGAUCCGGUGGUUCUGAAUGGAAGGGCCAUCGCUCAACGGAUAAAAGGUACUCCGGGGAUAACAGGCUGAUACCGCCCAAGAGUUCAUAUCGACGGCGGUGUUUGGCACCUCGAUGUCGGCUCAUCACAUCCUGGGGCUGAAGUAGGUCCCAAGGGUAUGGCUGUUCGCCAUUUAAAGUGGUACGCGAGCUGGGUUUAGAACGUCGUGAGACAGUUCGGUCCCUAUCUGCCGUGGGCGCUGGAGAACUGAGGGGGGCUGCUCCUAGUACGAGAGGACCGGAGUGGACGCAUCACUGGUGUUCGGGUUGUCAUGCCAAUGGCACUGCCCGGUAGCUAAAUGCGGAAGAGAUAAGUGCUGAAAGCAUCUAAGCACGAAACUUGCCCCGAGAUGAGUUCUCCCUGACCCUUUAAGGGUCCUGAAGGAACGUUGAAGACGACGACGUUGAUAGGCCGGGUGUGUAAGCGCAGCGAUGCGUUGAGCUAACCGGUACUAAUGAACCGUGAGGCUUAACCUUACAACGCCGAAG
rnacentral:rRNA from 1 species